AUUGAACGCUGGCGGCAGGCCUAACACAUGCAAGUCGAGCGGAGCAGCGGCCGGGUGAGGAAUGCCUAGGAAUCUGCCUGGUCGUGGGGGAUAAAGUCCGGAAACGGGCGCUAAUACCGCAUACUAUCAGAAGAGCCUAGGUCGGAUUGGCUAGUUGGUGGGGGAAGGGCCCCCCAAGGCGACGAUCAGUAACUGGUCUGCGAGGAUGAUCAGUCACACUGGAACUGAGACACGGUCCAGACUCCUACGGGAGGCAGCAGUGGGGAAUAUUGGACAAUGGGCGAAAGCCUGAUCCAGCCAUGCCGCGUGUGUGAAGAAGGUCUUCGGAUUGUAAAGCACUUUAAGUUGGGAGGCGUUACCAACAGAAUAAGCACCGGCUAACUUCGUGCCAGCCGCCGCGGUAAUAC
rnacentral:rRNA from 1 species